GCUAAGGAUAACGAGAGAGGCUUCCACGGUUUACCGUUUGGGGGCCUUUUUCUUUUGCGGUUUGAUCUCCAUUAAGU
rnacentral:misc_RNA from 1 species